rnacentral:rRNA from 1 species
GUACGCUAUUCAGAGUUUGAUCCUGGCUCAGGCUGAACGCUGGCGGCGUGCAUAACACAUUCAAGUCGAACGGAGUUACUUGAACAAUCCUUCGGGUGCGUGAGAGUAACUUAGUGGCGGACGGGUGAGUAACGCGUGAGCAACCUGCCUCUGUAUGGGGAAUAACGUCGGGAAACUGACGCUAAUACCUCAUAAUGCAUAAGGACCGCAUGAUCCAUAUGCCAAAGAUUUAUUGUACAGAGAUGGGCUCGCGUCUGAUUAGGUAGUUGGUGAGGUAACGGCCCACCAAGCCGACGAUCAGUAGCCGGACUGAGAGGUUGAACGGCCACAUUGGAACUGAGAUACGGUCCAG